rnacentral:tRNA from 1 species
GUCUCUGUGGCGCAAUUGGUUAGCGCGUUCGGCUGUUAACUGGGAGGUUGGUGGUUCAAGCCCACCCAGGGACG